rnacentral:tRNA from 1 species
GGGGGCGUAGCUCAGCUGGUUAGAGCGCAGGCCUGUCACGCCUGAGGCCGCGGGUUCGAGUCCCGUCGUCCCCGCCA